AGAGUUUGAUCAUGGCUCAGAUUGAACGCUGGCGGCAGGCCUAACACAUGCAAGUCGAACGGUAACAGGAAGCAGCUUGCUGCUUCGCUGACGAGUGGCGGACGGGUGAGUAAUGUCUGGGAAGCUGCCUGAUGGAGGGGGAUAACUACUGGAAACGGUAGCUAAUACCGCAUAAUGUCGCAAGACCAAAGAGGGGGACCUUCGGGCCUCUUGCCAUCGGAUGUGCCCAGAUGGGAUUAGCUUGUUGGUGGGGUAACGGCUCACCAAGGCGACGAUCCCUAGCUGGUCUGAGAGGAUGACCAGCCACACUGGAACUGAGACACGGUCCAGACUCCUACGGGAGGCAGCAGUGGGGAAUAUUGCACAAUGGGCGCAAGCCUGAUGCAGCCAUGCCGCGUGUAUGAAGAAGGCCUUCGGGUUGUAAAGUACUUUCAGCGGGGAGGAAGGGAGUAAAGUUAAUACCUUUGCUCAUUGACGUUACCCGCAGAAGAAGCACCGGCUAACUCCGUGCCAGCAGCCGCGGUAAUACGGAGGGUGCAAGCGUUAAUCGGAAUUACUGGGCGUAAAGCGCACGCAGGCGGUUUGUUAAGUCAGAUGUGAAAUCCCCGGGCUCAACCUGGGAACUGCAUCUGAUACUGGCAAGCUUGAGUCUCGUAGAGGGGGGUAGAAUUCCAGGUGUAGCGGUGAAAUGCGUAGAGAUCUGGAGGAAUACCGGUGGCGAAGGCGGCCCCCUGGACGAAGACUGACGCUCAGGUGCGAAAGCGUGGGGAGCAAACAGGAUUAGAUACCCUGGUAGUCCACGCCGUAAACGAUGUCGACUUGGAGGUUGUGCCCUUGAGGCGUGGCUUCCGGAGCUAACGCGUUAAGUCGACCGCCUGGGGAGUACGGCCGCAAGGUUAAAACUCAAAUGAAUUGACGGGGGCCCGCACAAGCGGUGGAGCAUGUGGUUUAAUUCGAUGCAACGCGAAGAACCUUACCUGGUCUUGACAUCCACGGAAGUUUUCAGAGAUGAGAAUGUGCCUUCGGGAACCGUGAGACAGGUGCUGCAUGGCUGUCGUCAGCUCGUGUUGUGAGAUGUUGGGUUAAGUCCCGCAACGAGCGCAACCCUUAUCCUUUGUUGCCAGCGGUCCGGCCGGGAACUCAAAGGAGACUGCCAGUGAUAAACUGGAGGAAGGUGGGGAUGACGUCAAGUCAUCAUGGCCCUUACGACCAGGGCUACACACGUGCUACAAUGGCGCAUACAAAGAGAAGCGACCUCGCGAGAGCAAGCGGACCUCAUAAAGUGCGUCGUAGUCCGGAUUGGAGUCUGCAACUCGACUCCAUGAAGUCGGAAUCGCUAGUAAUCGUGGAUCAGAAUGCCACGGUGAAUACGUUCCCGGGCCUUGUACACACCGCCCGUCACACCAUGGGAGUGGGUUGCAAAAGAAGUAGGUAGCUUAACCUUCGGGAGGGCGCUUACCACUUUGUGAUUCAUGACUGGGGUGAAGUCGUAACAAGGUA
rnacentral:rRNA from 1 species